rnacentral:rRNA from 1 species
AAAUUGAAGAGUUUGAUCAUGGCUCAGAUUGAACGCUGGCGGCAGGCCUAACACAUGCAAGUCGAACGGUAGCACAGAGAGCUUGCUCUCGGGUGACGAGUGGCGGACGGGUGAGUAAUGUCUGGGAAACUGCCUGAUGGAGGGGGAUAACUACUGGAAACGGUGGCUAAUACCGCAUAACGUCGCAAGACCAAAGAGGGGGACCUUCGGGCCUCUUGCCAUCAGAUGUGCCCAGAUGGGAUUAGCUAGUUGGUGAGGUAACGGCUCACCAAGGCGACGAUCCCUAGCUGGUCUGAGAGGAUGACCAGCCACACUGGAACUGAGACACGGUCCAGACUCCUACGGGAGGCAGCAGUGGGGAAUAUUGCACAAUGGGCGCAAGCCUGAUGCAGCCAUGCCGCGUGUAUGAAGAAGGCCUUCGGGUUGUAAAGUACUUUCAGCGGGGAGGAAGGUGUUGUGGUUAAUAACCACAGCAAUUGACGUUACCCGCAGAAGAAGCACCGGCUAACUCCGUGCCAGCAGCCGCGGUAAUACGGAGGGUGCAAGCGUUAAUCGGAAUUACUGGGCGUAAAGCGCACGCAGGCGGUCUGUCAAGUCGGAUGUGAAAUCCCCGGGCUCAACCUGGGAACUGCAUUCGAAACUGGCAGGCUUGAGUCUUGUAGAGGGGGGUAGAAUUCCAGGUGUAGCGGUGAAAUGCGUAGAGAUCUGGAGGAAUACCGGUGGCGAAGGCGGCCCCCUGGACAAAGACUGACGCUCAGGUGCGAAAGCGUGGGGAGCAAACAGGAUUAGAUACCCUGGUAGUCCACGCCGUAAACGAUGUCUACUUGGAGGUUGUGCCCUUGAGGCGUGGCUUCCGGAGCUAACGCGUUAAGUAGACCGCCUGGGGAGUACGGCCGCAAGGUUAAAACUCAAAUGAAUUGACGGGGGCCCGCACAAGCGGUGGAGCAUGUGGUUUAAUUCGAUGCAACGCGAAGAACCUUACCUGGUCUUGACAUCCACAGAAGAAUCCAGAGAUGGAUUUGUGCCUUCGGGAACUGUGAGACAGGUGCUGCAUGGCUGUCGUCAGCUCGUGUUGUGAAAUGUUGGGUUAAGUCCCGCAACGAGCGCAACCCUUAUCCUUUGUUGCCAGCGGUCCGGCCGGGAACUCAAAGGAGACUGCCAGUGAUAAACUGGAGGAAGGUGGGGAUGACGUCAAGUCAUCAUGGCCCUUACGACCAGGGCUACACACGUGCUACAAUGGCGCAUACAAAGAGAAGCGACCUCGCGAGAGCAAGCGGACCUCAUAAAGUGCGUCGUAGUCCGGAUUGGAGUCUGCAACUCGACUCCAUGAAGUCGGAAUCGCUAGUAAUCGUGGAUCAGAAUGCCACGGUGAAUACGUUCCCGGGCCUUGUACACACCGCCCGUCACACCAUGGGAGUGGGUUGCAAAAGAAGUAGGUAGCUUAACCUUCGGGAGGGCGCUUACCACUUUGUGAUUCAUGACUGGGGUGAAGUCGUAACAAGGUAACCGUAGGGGAACCUGCGGUUGGAUCACCUCCUUACCUUAAAGAA